UACGUAGGGCGCGAGCGUUGUCCGGAAUUAUUGGGCGUAAAGAGCUUGUAGGCGGUUUGUCGCGUCUGCUGUGAAAAUCCGGGGCUCAACCCCGGACUUGCAGUGGGUACGGGCAGACUAGAGUGUGGUAGGGGAGACUGGAAUUCCUGGUGUAGCGGUGGAAUGCGCAGAUAUCAGGAGGAACACCGAUGGCGAAGGCAGGUCUCUGGGCCACUACUGACGCUGAGAAGCGAAAGCAUGGGGAGCGAACAGG
rnacentral:rRNA from 1 species